rnacentral:rRNA from 1 species
AUUGAACGCUGGCGGCGUGCCUAACACAUGCAAGUCGAGCGGUAACAGGUGUAGCAAUACAUGCUGACGAGCGGCGGACGGGUGAGUAACGCUUGGGAAUCUGCCUAUUAGUGGGGGACAACCCGGGGAAACUCGGGCUAAUACCGCAUACGCUCUACGGAGGAAAGCGGGGGCUCCGUAAGGACCUCGCGCUGUUGGAGCGGCCGAUGUCGGAUUAGCUAGUUGGUGGGGUAAAGGCCCACCAAGGCGACGAUCCGUAGCUGGUCUGAGAGGAUGAUCAGCCACACUGGAACUGAGACACGGUCCAGACUCCUACGGGAGGCAGCAGUGGGGAAUUUUGGACAAUGGGGGCAACCCUGAUCCAGCCAUUCCGCGUGAGUGAAGAAGGCC